rnacentral:rRNA from 1 species
GAUUAACGUUGGCGGCGUGCAUAACACAUGCAAGUUGAGCGUGGCUCUUAGUUUACUAAGAGUCUAGCAGCGGACGGCUGAGUAAUGCACAGGAACGUACCUCAAAGUGGGGAAUAGCCCUUCGAAAGAAGGGGUAAUACCGCAUAGUCUCGCAAGAGUAAAGCCGCAAGGCGCUUUGAGAACGGCCUGUGUCCUAUCAGGUUGUUGGUGGGGUAAUUGCCUACCAAGCCUAGACGGGUAGCUGGUCUGAGAGGAUGACCAGCCAGAUCGGGACUGAGACACGGCCCGAACUCCUACGGGAGGCAGCAGUUGGGAAUUUUGCGCAAUGGACGAAAGUCUGACGCAGCGACGCCGCGUGGAGGAUGAAGGCUUUAGGGUUGUAAACUCCUUUGCGAGGGAAUAAUUUGUGAAUGUACCUCGCGAAUAAGCACCGGCUAACUCCGUGCCAGCAGCCGCCGCAGUAAC